UACGUAGGGGUGCAAGCGUUUAAUCGGAAUUACUGGGCGUAAGCGUGCGCAGGCGGUUGUGUAAGACAGAUGUGAAAUCCCCGGGCUCAACCUGGGAACUGCAUUUGUGACUGCACAGCUGGAGUGCGGCAGAGGGGGGAUGGAAUUCCGCGUGUAGCAGUGAAAUGCGUAGAUAUGCGGAGGAACACCGAUGGCGAAGGCAAUCCCCCUGGGCCUGCACUGACGCUCCAUGCACAAAGGCGUGGGGGAGCAAACAGG
rnacentral:rRNA from 1 species